GAUGAACGCUGGCGGCGUGCCUAAUACAUGCAAGUCGAGCGAACGGACGAGAAGCUUGCUUUUCUGAUGUUAGCGGCGGACGGGUGAGUAACACGUGGAUAACCUACCUAUAAGACUGGGAUAACUUCGGGAAACCGGAGCUAAUACCGGAUAAUAUUUUGAACCGCAUGGUUCAUAAGUGAAAGACGGUCUUGCUGUCACUUAUAGAUGGAUCCGCGCUGCAUUAGCUAGUUGGUAAGGUAACGGCUUACCAAGGCAACGAUGGAUAGCCGACCUGAGAGGGUGAUCGGCCACACUGGAACUGAGACACGGUCCAGACUCCUACGGGAGGCAGCAGUAGGGAAUCUUCCGCAAUGGGCGAAAGCCUGACGGAGCAACGCCGCGUGAGUGAUGAAGGUCUUCGGAUCGUAAAACUCUGUUAUUAGGGAAGAACAUAUGUGUAAGUAACUGUGCACAUCUUGACGGUACCUAAUCAGAAAGCCACGGCUAACUACGUG
rnacentral:rRNA from 1 species